UAGCAUUUGAAAACAUAAACAUCUUUUCUUAAUUUUUCUGUUCUCCACAUCCAUUUUCUCAAAAUUAAGUCUGCAGGUCCAGGGGCCUUGAAGGGAGCUGAGGUUCAAUCCAAAUGAAUGGAGGCAUUAUGUAAGUGCUUACAACAUCGAGGAAUUAUGUAAAUGGAUCCGUUGCCACGCAACAAUGCUCCUCCUGUCAAAACAUAAACAACAUUGUACAAAUGGCCAAAUGUUCACAAUGGUGAAAUAUGAUGAAAUCCACCCUAGGGGUUUUAUACAUGAUUCUAUGUACACACAUAUGGGAAGAUUGCGCUAGUUUACAAAAGACUCCUCUUUGCAAAUUUAUGAAUCAUAGUCCACUCCCAUGAACGCUGGACUUCAAUGAAAUUAACUGUUUGGCUGGCACCCAUAGACUUCCAUGGAACACGUUAAGAAUUAUGUGUUAUGACGAUUAAAGGGCUGAAGUAGUUCUUAAGUGUUUGAAAAGGGGGCUUGAUAUAGGAUUUUGAGUAGCUGGUCUACUUAGCUCAUCUCUAAUGCUGUAGGUGACGCGGGAGGUCCAGCUGUGAGCCAUCAUCGAACACAGUGCUGUCCCACCUCAUGUACACCCUUUAUGCGUCACUAGCUGUUUGAACUUCCCUGGCUGUUUUUAUUUGGUUAUGCAUCUAAAUCAUCAGGGGUCAAGUAAACAGCUCUGGUGGAGGUAAACAGCCUGAGGGAUAGGCUUUCCUCUGGGGCCUUUAGCAGCUGAACUUUACACACACACUCACACACACACACACACACACACAUGCACACACAUGCACACACGUGUACACGUACACCCUCGAAUCUGGGUGAAGAUCAAACUGCUGACGCCUAUUUUGCACUUAUCUUUGCUGGUUUAGCUCCGGGCUUUUCUCAGUACUGAAAGAUCCCGUGUUGCCAUACGAGCACCAAUGGCUGCAGUCGGUGAGAUGAUGUUUUCGAGGAUUCGCGAUGAACUCUGCUUCUCAUAGCACACUCAUAGAAACACACACACAACCACCUCCUCACCAGCUCAGGGGAGGCCAGGCCAUCAACAACUCUUCUCCACCACUCCCUGUUUUGAUCAAAAUCUCACAAGACUGUAGAUGAAUCUGGAUGCACAUCAAACUGCUUGUGUCUAUUAUGCACUUAUCACUGUGGGUGCAGCUCCACUCUCGUUUUGGCGCUGAAAGGUCCCACGGUGUCAUAUUGGAGCAGACUGCUGGAUGAUGUUGGGGAGUUAUGGCAGGACCCCUCCUCUUCUUUCAUCACCGUCUGUGUCAUCGCCCUCUCCUCCCAUCCGUAAAGGAACCAGUAGAAGGAUGGUUUAAAGGCACACACACGUUAUGGACCAUGGGGAGAAAAGUGCCUGUUGUCAUCUGGUGGACCAGAGGCAAUGAGACUGUGUGUGUGGUACAAGCAUUUUGAGUAUUUGCAUGCUUUGAAUGACUCACUGAGUGAGAGUUUGCAGUAUUUCAGCUGUCUUUGACUACUUCAAUACAUUUAGCCUUGAAGGAUCAUCUACUUGCAUGCUAUGCUAAUCAUCAUAAAACAUGAACGUCUUUAUUAAAUAUUUCCCCACAUGUGCGGCUUCCAGUGAAGUUCUGUGAGUAAAUCAUAAACUUUUUUUGAAAAUAAAAUUCAUGUCUCAUGUCA